UACGUAGGGGGCUAGCGUUGUCCGGAAUUACUGGGCGUAAAGGCUCGUAGGCGGCCAACUAAGUCGGACGUGAAAUCCCUCGGCUUAACCGGGGAACUGCGUUCGAUACUGGAUGGCUAGAGUUCGGGAGAGGGAUGCGGAAUUCCAGGUGUAGCGGUGAAAUGCGUAGAUAUCUGGAGGAACACCGGUGGCGAAGGCGGCAUCCUGGACCGACACUGACGCUGAGGAGCGAAAGCCAGGGGAGCAAAGCAGG
rnacentral:rRNA from 1 species